rnacentral:misc_RNA from 1 species
GAGUUUCCCAGCAUUUUCAGGCCUUUUUGCCAAUUUGAUUGCAACUGCUGCUGCAGCUCCAGAAGAUAUCCCAACCUGUGGAAAAAAAAAGGGGGAAAAGACAAAUCCUGUAGCUUGCAUCAUAGGUGCAAAGGAAAGAGGGCUUCUGGUAGAGAUCUAGAAAUUAAAUAAAUAAUAACACUAACAGGAGAAUAACAUUUUCAUACCAAUAAACCUUCUUUCAGGGCAAGCAACUUAGUAGUUUCAAUAGCUUCCUCACUUGA